UGGGGAAUAUUGCGCAAUGGAGGGAACUCUGACGCAGCAACGCCGCGUGAAGGAUGAAGGCUUUCGGGUUGUAAACUUCUUUGAUCGGGGACGAAGAUGACGGUACCCGAGGAACAAGCCACGGCUAACUACGUGCCAGCAGCCGCGGUAAUACGUAGGGGGCGAGCGUUAUCCGGAUUCAUUGGGCGUAAAGCGUGUGUAGGCGGUUUAUUAAGUCUGUGGUCAAAUGCUAAAGCUUAACUUUAGUACGCCGUGGAAACUGGUAAACUUGAGUAGAGUAGAGGCAAGUGGAAUUCCUAGUGUAGCGGUGGAAUGCGUAGAUAUUAGGAGGAACACCAGUGGCGAAGGCGGCUUGCUGGGCUCUCACUGACGCUGAGACACGAAAGCGUGGGUAGCAAAUAGG
rnacentral:rRNA from 1 species